rnacentral:rRNA from 1 species
GGGAUAUUGGACAAUGGGGGGAACCCUGAUCCAGCGACGCCGCGUGAGUGAAGAAGUAUCUCGGUAUGUAAAGCUCUAUCAGCAGGGAAGAAAGAAAUGACGGUACCUGAGUAAGAAGCCCCGGCUAACUACGUGCCAGCAGCCGCGGUAAUACGUAGGGGGCAAGCGUUAUCCGGAUUUAUUGGGUUUAAAGGGUGCGUAGGCGGGCUGUUAAGUCAGCGGUCAAAUGUCGGGGCUCAACCCCGGCCUGCCGUUGAAACUGGCGGCCUCGAGUGGGCGAGAAGUAUGCGGAAUGCGUGGUGUAGCGGUGAAAUGCAUAGAUAUCACGCAGAACUCCGAUUGCGAAGGCAGCAUACCGGCGCCCUACUGACGCUGAGGCACGAAAGCGUGGGUAUCGAACAG